CCGGGAGUGUUGGCUCAGUCCCAGUGUGUUUGUGUUGGGGGGGGGGUGUAUCGGGGCGAGAGACUCGAGGUCAAAGCAGAGGUGAGAGCUUUGUUCAGGAAUUAAGGGGACAUUACCUGACAUGGGUCUUUGAUGUAAGAAAGUCCACGUAGGAAGUCCUCUCGAUCUCCACCGGCUGACCCUGACGGUCGUACAGCGCCAGCACAAAGUGGAAGAAGUUGGACUUCCUCAAGUUGGA